GCUAAAUUUCUUCAUACUCAACUUUCAGAUUCUUUAAUCUCCAGCUCAGCUUCAACAAUUCAACGCUGUUCUUUCUGAAAAAGUACACAUCGUGCCUUCUCUACUUCGCUCUUGGAACAUAAUUUCUCAUGGCAGUGUUUAAGACCACUCUGUGGAGGUUAAUUUCUGGGACCUUAGGGAUAAUAUGCCUUUCGUUGAUGUCUACGUUGGGAAUUUUGUUGAAAAAUUCUUUUACUAAACUGAGUAUUGAGCCAGCAUUUACUCCAGGACCCAACAUAGAACUCCAGAAAGCAGGAUUUUAUGAGCUCCAGUCAACAAUUUUACUGGAUUGGACUCUCUUACAGUGAGGAGCACACCGCCUGGUUGUGGGAGAAUGGCUCUGCACUCUCCCAGUAUCUAUUUCCAUCAUUUGAAACUUUUAAUACAAAGAACUGCAUAGCGUAUAAUCCAAAUGGAAAUGCUUUAGAUGAAUCCUGUGAAGAUAAAAAUCGUUAUAUCUGUAAGCAACAGCUCAUUUAAAUGUUUCUUGGGGCAGAGAAGGUGGAGAGUAAAGACCCAACAUUACUAACAAUGAUACAGUUGCAUGUUAUAUUAUUACUAAUUGUCUACUUCUGGAGUCUAUAAAAUGUUUUUAAACAGUGUCAUAUACAAUUGUCAUGUAUGUGAAACAAUGUGUUUUAAAAUUGAUGAAAUUCGUUCACCU
rnacentral:lncRNA from 1 species